AACAAACCUCACCAACCCCGCCCACACACCCCAUCUCCCUCCUCCUCUGCCACGAUUCCCCUCCCCCAGAUCCACCUUCUUCUCUUCCAGGGCGCGCCGUCCCAUCCCCACUGGGUUUCUUCCCACACCGACGCCGCCCCACCCCCAACCCGCUUCUAGCCCCGCCGACGCCGCCCCAUCCCCAUCCGGCUCCUCCCACGCCAGUUCCGCCACUACCAGGCAACGACGUUCCCGCGCCCAACUCCUCCUCCUUCCCAUGGUCAUGGCGCCACCACGUCCCGUCCGGUGCACUUGAUGCUCUGUCUUCCCCUCCCCAGACCGGAGUUGCAUCCACGACGGUCACAUCGUGCCACCACCAACCUCGGCUGCCAGGGUCCCUCGUCCCCUUCCAUGGCGAGUUGUGCCUCACGUGGAACUCAGACCACCCCACCACCAGAUCCAUCCAGGGGAGGCAAGGGGCUCCGGGCUGCCACCGCAGGCCACACGCGGCCACCACCUCCAUGAAGGUGUGCUCCGGACUGCCACCGCCGGUGCCGCGCCCUUGCCUUCCUCGCUAGAUGCAGCCUCGCCAGCGGUCAAGGCCACGGGCAUAGAGGAGGAAGGAAAAGUUCUCCUAUCCGUCCCCGCUCCCUGCCAGCACCGAUCUGGUUCCCCUCCGCCAAGCCGUACCAUGACGAGUUCUUCCCUGUGUGCUAGUGCUUGUGGACUGCAUCGACUGCGGCAGCCAAAAUCACCAGUCGCUGUUCAGUUUCAUUGCAAAAAUCCUUGGCGCUGGCCACGCCCCGCCUUUUCCUGCUGCUUCGUUUGCGGCGAGGACGGCUUCCUCUCUCUGCCAUGUCAAGCUCCGACCUCCACUACCUGCGCCCGGAGUGCAAACUCCCUUCGGCGAGGAGCGAGGUCCAAUCCUAGCGGGCACGCGAUAUUGUUCGAUGCGCGUGGCCGUGCAGUGCAGUUGAUGCCCCGUGUGCAGCUCACUGACGUGGUCCAAUAGAAAAAUUGGUUUUGUGCGGUUCCAGUGCAGUGCGCAUCAUCUAGUUCCACCUUUUCCUCACUUCUCGCCGGCGUAUAUGGCCCAGGUGGUGCUUUCUAUUGACCGUGAGCGCCGUGCACAGGGCACAUGGCCCAUCGCCCCCGACCCUCAGGGGUUUAAUAUAAUUUUAUAGUGAAAAUGUUUAUGUUCUUUUUUACAAAUAUAUGUGCAGUUUGUUGUAAAUCCAUCUAUGGUUCACUUUGUGAAAAAGAGAGAGAAAAUAAAUACAUCGAUAUUGUAGUGCGAUUUUGGUUG